rnacentral:rRNA from 1 species
GAACGGUGUCUUCGGACACAGUGGCGGACGGGUGAGUAACGCGUGAGAAUCUGCCAUCAGGUCUGGGACAACCACUGGAAACGGUGGCUAAUACCGGAUGUGCCCUUCGGGGUGAAAGGUUAACUGCCUGUUGAUGAGCUCGCGUCUGAUUAGCUAGUUGGUGUGGUAAGAGCGCACCAAGGCGACGAUCAGUAGCUGGUCUGAGAGGACGAUCAGCCACACUGGGACUGAGACACGGCCCAGACUCCUACGGGAGGCAGCAGUGGGGAAUUUUCCGCAAUGGGCGAAAGCCUGACGGAGCAAUACCGCGUGAGGGAGGAAGGCUCUUGGGUCGUAAACCUCUUUUCUCAGGGAAGAACAAAAUGACGGUACCUGAGGAAUAAGCAUCGGCUAACUCCGUGCCAGCAGCCGCGGUAAUACGGAGGAUGCAAGCGUUAUCCGGAAUGAUUGGGCGUAAAGCGUCCGCAGGUGGCUAUGUAAGUCUGCUGUUAAAGAGUCUAGCUCAACUAGAUAAGAGCAGUGGAAACUACAAGGCUAGAGUGCGUUCGGGGCAGAGGGAAUUCCUGGUGUAGCGGUGAAAUGCGUAGAGAUCAGGAAGAACACCAGUGGCGAAGGCGCUCUGCUAGGCCGCAACUGACACUGAGGGACGAAAGCUAGGGGAGCGAAUGGGAUUAGAUACCCCAGUAGUCCUAGCCGUAAACGAUGGAUACUAGGCGUGGCUUGUAUCGACCCGAGCCGUGCCGUAGCUAACGCGUUAAGUAUCCCGCCUGGGGAGUACGCCGGCAACGGUGAAACUCAAAGGAAUUGACGGGGGCCCG